CACAGAAAAAGUGAGGCUGACAAUGAGGAUAGUAAGUUGGGGAGCAGGGUGUUGGGGGCGAGGCGUAUGCAUCAAGUAGGAGGCGAGAGCGAGGAAGCAAGAGUAGGAGCCAUCCAUGGCAUCGCCACCGCAAGAAUUGCGGCAACGCGAGGCAUACUCCUCCGAGGAUCAGACCUCAAACUCAAAGGAAGGGGAUGCCGCCGCCAACAUCAAGAUUCAAGGCUAAGGACUCUGUCAAGUAGAAUGCUGAGCGCGUCAAGGCCUCCAUGAACACCAGGAAUGCCUCCUACUUCCCUUCUCCUCUCCUCCAACCAAACCAAAUUCUCUUCUCCCUCACGCUGCCUAUCUCUUGUUUUGCAUUUUAAAUUAAAACCUCUAGCUGUAUAAAAGAGUGACACAAAGCAUAACCCACUCAUGUCUGAUGUACAUGUAUAAAUAGUAUAAAUAAAAUUCAUACAAGACUCCUCCAUUC